GCGUAAUUGGUUUAGUGGUAAAAUUCUCCGUUGCCAUUCAGGUAACUUCGGGGAGCCCUGGGUUCGAUUCCCAGAUUACGCA
rfam:Fusarium poae strain 2516 chromosome FPOA_1 Chr1, whole genome shotgun sequence.